rnacentral:lncRNA from 1 species
AAAGGGGUAGAUAAGAUUAUUUAAGAUUAUUUAUCAUCCACUAUUGUCUAAAAAAAAAAAAAAUUACCCUUCUCCUCUUCUCCAAUCCAGUGACCCUAAUCCCAUUUUCCUCUAAACCCAUCUUCUCCUUCCUUCUAUUUUCUUCAAUCUCCUAGAUUCAUCUGGGACUACAGUAGUAAUAUUCAGGUUCUGAUUCUUUUUACCUAAUUUUUUCUAUGCUUAUAUGUGUUAAUCAUAUAUUUAAGUUUGGGAUAAUUUAUAGUUUGGUAUUUGGGUCUCUGUUUAUUUGUUUGAAAUUUUGAGCUAGUUAAUCUGUUUUUCCCUCAAGAGUUCGUGCUCGUCAAAUUCUUGCUAAUUGAGUGGUAAAGUUUGUACCUUUUUAGCUGUUUUUGUUUAUUUGAGUUGCUUUGAGCUGUUCUGCCAAUUGAGUGGUAAAGUUUGUACCUUUUUAGCUGUUUUUUUUUUGUUCAUUUGAGUUGCUUUGAGCUGGUUUUUUCAAUUAUUUUAUUUGUUGUGCUGAGUACCUAAGAGAUUCUGGUAAUUUAAAAACGUAGGAAUCGACUUCUUUUGCGUUAAUGGGGCUUUGAGGGACGUCUUCUCUUUCCCUUAUCAAGCAAGUCACACCUAAUCGCCCUUGAUGCUAUCUUGAUAACUGGACUGAAUGUCUCGUCAUAGUCUAUACCCUAUUGCUGGUUUUAGCCUUUGGCUACCACGCGAGCCUUGUAGCAAUCAAUAGUCCCAUCAGACUUUGACUUUCUCUUGUAUAACCACUUGCAAGCCGAUACACAAAUUUAUAAAUCAAAAUUUAGCAGGAAAAUGGGAUGAAGCCCGCCAGAAAGCUUUUGACAAAAUAAAGAACUCCAUUCUAGUGCCUACAAUUCCAGGAAGCCUUUAUUACUAUACCUAUUAGUCACCGAAACCACAUUUUUCUACUUGUUCCUUAGUUUAAGUUUUCUAAUUUGUCUUUGUAAAUCAAACAAAGGAAUACAGGUAAGAUUUUGAGAACUAUUAGUUUUGGAAAAAAUUUAAUCUGUGCCUUAAAAGAUAAGUAGAUUUUUAACGAUGACAAAUUAUUGAAUAUUAGAAUGAAAUGGGCCAAAUUAAUUUGGGACUGAAGCAUAGUUGAUUGAUUGAGUUUGAAAAUGAAUAUGUAAAAAUGUGUCCUCAGCUUGUACUAAUUGGACUUUGUUCUUACAAGCUUCGUUUGAACAUAUUUUGAAAAUUAGAAUGAGAUGGAGCUAAACUAGAGUAAAGCGGAUAGUAAGGAUUCAUCCGGCUGACACCAACUAGUUUGGGUUGAGGUUUAUUAGUUGUUAGUAUUUACGGUGGAUUCUUAGUUAUUUUGUGAAGUGCCUGUCUUUAUAAGGAUAUGAGGUAGCCCAAUUCAAAACUCUAUUAAGCACUUCACAGGGUCGUGGUUGACUUGCUGCGGAUUUCAACUUCCAGACUCACCCCUUAACUAAAUACACAAAAGUAUUUAAUUUUCAGGUGAUAUUUAGGGUCACCUCAUGUAAGGGUCACCUCAUGUAACUGGGGCUAUCUUGAAGGAAUGGAUAAUUCACUUGUUGUUUUGUUAAAAACCAUUUUCUAGAGCCAAAGAUCCCUCCUAGUUGGUUCUGAUUUCCAGCACACGGGAAUGUCAUCCCCUUAAAGAAUUCAGACUUACUUAUUUUGCCACCUGAUUUCUCUAUGAAAAUUUUCGGAUUAGAAAGAAACCAAAGAGCAUCCGAAGGGGUUGAAAGUGCUUCUGGAAGUUAAGAGGGAUUGAUUUUCCUAUACAGCACCAACGAGAUAUGAAGUUAGAGGACAUUCAUAUAUAUAUAUAUAUAUAUAUAUAUUAGUUCUUCCCUCUCAGAUCAAUGAAGUUAAUACAUAUAGAUGUGUGUGUGUCUGUUUGCUAGCCUGCUUAAUGAGUCUAGUAGAAUAGCACCCUCUUCCUACUUAAAGGAGUCUAGUAGGGUUUUGUAUGUGUGUAUGUUGUCAACCAAAAUCCCCAAUUUCUUCCCUCUCCUCUGCAUUUCACCGAUAUCCCCGAAUUCUUCUCCUUCCUUUUCAUUUCACUCAGUUCCCCAUGUUUUGCAUAUUCGUUGCCUAGCAUUGUUUGUUGACAUUUUGUUAUAAUGCAGCAAUGUUAAUAACUUGAAUAGACUUCAGCUACAUCCAGAUGGAGUUGAACAAAAUCCAAAAGAUUGAACCAAGCUUUUGUCAUCCAAAGUUUUGCCCUUUCACUUCUCUUCUACUCCAAUAGUUUCUCUUACAUAUUCGGCCAUAACCACCAUCAUUUUUUUCUGUGGUAAAUUCACCUUCCCAAUAUCAAUUCCCCCUACCUCACCCAACUUCUCCUUCAUCUUCACAAGAACAAUGUUGCACAUUUGUCCUUUCGCCUUGGACUGUGGCUCCUCAUAUUUGUUACUUCAUAUCUACCUUGUUCUUCACUCUUCUUCCUUCUUUCUUGUCUUAUACUCUUGUUCAUGUUGUUAGGAUUUUGUUUGUACUGAAACUGAUGAGUUGAACUAAAUUGGGUUAUCAGUUUUAUGGGCCUUUAAGUGGUCUAUCUGGGGUUUCCUAGAGCUUGAAAUUUGAAUGAUCUGAUGGAAAUUACUGAAGUUUUUUUUAUCGUUCCAAAUAUCAGAGGAACAGGGGAUCGUUGGUACAAAAUGGUGUAGAGUUUAACUUUUUUAUAGAGACCAAAAAGUCUCCCCUAUUAGUGUGUUGCAACAACCUAUUAGGGGCAUAUAAAGAAGAUGAAAAAAGGGGACGAUGGUACAAAGCUAACCUACUACAGCCAUGUGGUUAGUUAGCAAAACCCACGUGUGUGUGUGUGUGUGUGUUUGAGUGUGUAUUCUCAUAUUUGUUCAAUCGAUCCAUGGAAGUUUGGCUACUCAAUCCUGGAUUGUGCUGUUACUACUCGGCAGUUGCGUAGUGUUUCAGCUCUUAUAUCUAGGAGGCUAGACCAAAUUUGGUUUAUAUGAACAUUGAAUCAUGUCUCAGACUUAUGGUUCAUAUUCUGUUACAUUGAUUCUAUAAUCAUGCAUUAACUCCUGUCGAGCUUUUUCUGGGCAAUUCUGUGUUUUAGUUAAUACUCUUCUCCUCGCAAAGUGCCGAUAUUUUUUAGCUUCCUCUGGGUCAAAAGAUAUGAACCUUCACCUGGUAUCAGGUUUUUGAAUUGAUAAUUUGUUGAUGUCUGCUGAUUUAUCUUUCAAGUGUGACAUUGCAUACUAUUAUCUGUUAGGCAUCUGGAAGAUCUGGUAUUUUUGAUAUCAGAAGAGAGAUUUUCUGAUUAUUUCUUUAUUCUCGGCAGGUGCAUCAUGGCUAGAGCUUUAGUUCAGUCAACAAACAUCCCAUCGUCAGUUGCUGGUGAAAGGACAACAAAAUUCAAUGGAUCUGGGAAAACUAACAGAACUGUUAAAAUGCUAUGCAGUGCACA